rnacentral:pre_miRNA from 1 species
AGUGGGAUAGCUGGGUCAAAUGGUGGUUAAUUCCCAGUUUUCCAAGGAAUCUUCUUACUGCUUUCCAUAUUGACUGCACCAAUUUGCAGUCCCACCAGCAAU